rnacentral:lncRNA from 1 species
AGUAAUUCCCUGCAUAUAUAAACCAGGCACUAAUGCAUACUACGGCAGAUUUCAAAGGCAGGAUCAUACCAUGUGGAAAGGUUUAAGGAACACUGGAAGCAUCUGCAUGGAUGGGGCUGGCAACCAGACAAAAAGUAUUUUUGCCUUGAUUGAAUCUAGUCAGUGAGCAAGUCACAGGUGACUCAGAGGAUGACUGUACGGAAAUAGACGCUGUUGCUGGGAGGAAGCAUUUCUGAAGGAUGGGAAUGGGAGCUUCAUGCAAGUACAGCUACUCACAUCCUGGUAUGUCUGAAGCUCUGGGCUUUGGU